GGAGGGUGAAACCCGGAGCACUACCUUGACACGGUAGGGGUCACAAGUUCAAUCCUUGUACCGCCCACCA
rnacentral:tRNA from 1 species